GUUGUGAGGUUAAGCGACUAAGCGUACACGGUGGAUGCCCUGGCAGUCAGAGGCGAUGAAGGACGUGCUAAUCUGCGAUAAGCGCCGGUAAGGUGAUAUGAACCGUUAUAACCGGCGAUUUCCGAAUGGGGAAACCCAGUGUGAUUCGUCACACUAUCAUUACGUGAAUACAUAGCGUAAUGAAGCGAACCGGGGGAACUGAAACAUCUAAGUACCCCGAGGAAAAGAAAUCAACCGAGAUUCCCCCAGUAGCGGCGAGCGAACGGGGAGGAGCCCAGAGCCUGAAUCAGCAUGUGUGUUAGUGGAAGCGUCUGGAAAGGCGCGCGAUACAGGGUGACAGCCCCGUACACAAAAGCGCAUGUGCUGUGAGCUCGAUGAGUAGGGCGGGACACGUGGUAUCCUGUCUGAAUAUGGGGGGACCAUCCUCCAAGGCUAAAUACUCCUGACUGACCGAUAGUGAACCAGUACCGUGAGGGAAAGGCGAAAAGAACCCCGGCGAGGGGAGUGAAAAAGAACCUGAAACCGUGUACGUACAAGCAGUGGGAGCACAGGUUUACCUGUGUGACUGCGUACCUUUUGUAUAAUGGGUCAGCGACUUAUAUUCUGUAGCAAGGUUAACCGAAUAGGGGAGCCGGAGGGAAACCGAGUCUUAACCGGGCGUUAAGUUGCAGGGUAUAGACCCGAAACCCGGUGAUCUAGCCAUGGGCAGGUUGAAGGUUGGGUAACACUAACUGGAGGACCGAACCGACUAAUGUUGAAAAAUUAGCGGAUGACCUGUGGCUGGGGGUGAAAGGCCAAUCAAACCGGGAGAUAGCUGGUUCUCCCCGAAAGCUAUUUAGGUAGCGCCUCGUGAAUUCAUCUCCGGGGGUAGAGCACUGUUUCGGCUAGGGGGCCAUCCCGGCUUACCAACCCGAUGCAAACUGCGAAUACCGGAGAAUGUUAUCACGGGAGACACACGGCGGGUGCUAACGUCCGUCGUGAAGAGGGAAACAACCCAGACCGCCAGCUAAGGUCCCAAAGUCAUGGUUAAGUGGGAAACGAUGUGGGAAGGCCCAGACAGCCAGGAUGUUGGCUUAGAAGCAGCCAUCAUUUAAAGAAAGCGUAAUAGCUCACUGGUCGAGUCGGCCUGCGCGGAAGAUGUAACGGGGCUAAACCAU
rnacentral:rRNA from 1 species